CCGAAUAUUUUGUUCAUGUGCCAGUAAGGCAACGCUGGUAACGAUCAUGCUCAAAUGGUGCUUUUCACAUGCCACCGGCACAGAAGCCAGACAGCUGCUCUGGAAGUGAUCCCGCUCAGAUGGAGCUGUUAGUGCUCCACUGGCAUGGGUGCCAUCAAAAUUCAACA